rnacentral:rRNA from 1 species
CCUAACACAUGCAAGUCGAACGGGAAGCGGUGCAUAUUGCUUCGGUGAUAAUGUGCCGUGGAGAGUGGCGAACGGGUGCGUAACACGUAGGUAACCUGCCCUGAAAGGGGGGAUAACCACGGGAAACUGUGGCUAAUACCGUAUAAUCUCGCCGUGGCGGUGGUUACGGUGAGGAAAGCUGAGGCGAUUUGGGAGGGGCCUGCGGUCGAUUAGCUGGUUGGUGGGGUAAAGGCCCACCAAGGCGAUGAUCGAUAGCUGUUCUGAGAGGAAGACCAGCCACACGGGAACUGAGACACGGUUCCGACUCCUACGGGGGGCAGCAGUGAGGAAUAUUGCGCAAUGGGGGGAACCCUGACGCAGCAACGCCGCGUGGAGGACGAAGGUUUUCGGAUUGUAAACUCCUUAACUGGGGGAAGAGAGAGGACGGUACCCCAGGACGAAGACACGGCUAACUAGGUGCCAGCAGCCGCGGUAAUACCUAGGUGUCGAGCGUUAUCCGGAAUUACUGGGCGUAAAGGGUGCGCAGGCGGUGUUACAAGUCCGGCGUGAAAGCUUCUGGCUUAACUGG